AGUGAACGCUGGCGGUAGGCAUAACACAUGCAAGUCGAACGGCAGCACAGUAAGAGCUUGCUCUUACGGGUGGCGAGUGGCGGACGGGUGAGGAAUACGUCGGAAUCUACUUUUUCUGGGGUGAUAACGGAGGGAAACUUACGCUAAUACCGCAUACGACCUACGGGUGAAAGCAGGGGAUCUUCGUACCUUGCGCGAUUGAAUGAGCCGAUGUCGGAUUAGCUAGUUGGCGGGGUAAAGGCACACCAAGGCGACGAUCCGUAGCUGGUCUGAGAGGAUGAUCAGCCACACUGGAACUGAGACACGGUCCAGACUCCUACGGGAGGCAGCAGUGGGGAAUAUUGCACAAUGGGCGAAAGCCUGAUCCAGCAAUACCGCGUGGGUGAAGAAGGCCUUCGGGUUGUAAAGCCCUUUUGUUGGGAAAGAAAAGCAGCAGGUUAAUACCCCGCUGUUCUGACGGUACCCAAAGAAUAAGCACCGGCUAACUUCGUG
rnacentral:rRNA from 1 species